rnacentral:lncRNA from 10 species
AGUAGGUGAGCUUCUCCAUCCCUGUCUGUCUAGAUGCAGAGAACCCAAAGCCCUGCAGGAUGGCAAAGCUGCAACAUGGAAGUCACCCGGAUCACCACGUAAAGGAAAUCUCUCCAACCAGGAACAAACACCUGCCUUGCAAUAUUAGGAGAACUGCUGGAACCCAGGAGGCAGAGGUUGCAGUGAGCCGAAUCCGUGUCAUUGCACUCCAGCCCAGGCCAACAACAGCAAGAAUUCGUAUUAAAAAAAAGGCUGGUGAGAGGGGCGUGGAGGUUGAGGGGUGUGGUAAACUGUAGGAGAUAACGAUUUUAUGUUGUGUGUGUGCUAUGGUUUGGAUGUGGUUUGUCUCCUCCAAAAUGCAUGUAGAAACUUGGUCCCCAAUGUAAUGGUAUUGGGAGGUGGGGCCUUUAAGAGGGGAUUAGGUCAUUAGGAGGGAUUAAUGCCUUUCUCACAGGAGUGGGUUAAUUCUCACAGAAGUGGGUGAGUUAUUGAGAGCAGUUCAUUACAAAAGUGAGUUUGGCUUCCUCGGCUUUCUCUUGCUUCCUCGGCUUUCUCUUGCUUCCUCUCACCCUACGAUGCAUUCUGCUGUGUUACAACACAGCACGAGGCCCUCACCAGAAGCUGACCAGAUCCAGCCACCCUGUCUUGGACUUCCCAGCCUCCAGAACUGUAAAAAACAAACCCCUUUUCUUUGUCAAUUACCCAGUCCCAUGGGUUCUAUGACAGCAACAGAAAGUGGACAAAUUGUGUAACAUGCACAUGUCCAGGAGGGUGUGUGAGAGGUAAUCCUGUUGUUACGGUUGUUCUGUAGGGUGACCACAAUUGGGAAUUUCCCUGGGACUGUUUUGGUUUUAGCACUGAAAACUCUGUAUUUCAAUAAACUAC